GGACUACUAGGGUAUCUAAUCCCGUUUGCUCCCCUGGCUUUCGCGCCUCAGCGUCAGAAGAGGUCCAGCAGCUCGCUUUCGCCACCGGCGUUCCUUCCGAUAUCAACGCAUUUCACCGCUCCACCGGAAGUUCCAGCUGCCCCUACCUCGCUCGAGACCACCAGUAUCCAAGGCUAUUUUCCGGUUAAGCCGAAAGAUUUCACCCCGGACUUGGUGACCCGCCUACGCGCCCUUUAAGCCCAGUGAUUCCGAACAACGUUCGCACGGUUCGUCUUACCGCGGCUGCUGGCAC
rnacentral:rRNA from 3 species